rnacentral:lncRNA from 10 species
GCAGGUGGCAUCGUGCAGAAAGAUAAAACAGCAUGUAAGCAUCUCUGCAGUUGCUGUCCCCAGAGCCCACUUCCUGGAUAUUGCCAGCUGCCUGGACCAACCUUUCCGAAAGAUCAGCCAGGUCACAGUGAGGGUCAAAGGUGAGCCACGGGCCUCAGCAGCUGCUGAGUGGAUGGUGCGUGGGACUCAGGAAGUGACGUUCUCUCCCCGCCCAGCCCCCUUCCUCAGUCUAUUGCUCCGAAUCCUGGACCACACACUGCGUGCUGAGGCUCCAUCGCUGUGCUGGGUGAGGGGUGGAGGACUGUCCAGCUGACAGCCACCCAGGAGGCCUGCCCAGGAGACCCAGCCCAGCCUCUCCUUGGAACCUGAAGAACUCCAGGCAGCUGAUGGGACACUGGGGCCCAGGUCAGCCCCUCCCCUUCCCUGAGGUUGCCUGAGGACGCCUUCACUGUUCUAGAGAAGGAGGCCCUCCCCAUGGCUGGGGACAGUCACAGCAGCUGCAGACAGAUGAUGGGAGGGAGCAUUCUUUCCCUAACCCUAGAGGCGGGCGAGCAUUCACCAAGUGUUGUUGUUAAAGAAAAAAAGAAAGAAAAAGAAACCAGGAUUGUACCUGAGGUCAGGCAGACAGUGCUCAACUCAGCACUGGGAAGAUUGCUAGAAGCCUUGGGCCUAUCUAGGAAGACUGGGCCAACAUGCGAUCCCCUCUGCAAGGUGGAGGCCAUGCACCUGCCUCCUGCUCCUGAGCUCCGGUAUCCUCACUGUGACCCAGGCCCCACUGCAGCAAAGAGACACUGGGAAUUAGCCCUUCUGUCCCCUCCUUGCCAGAAGGUGGGAAGAUGUGUUGGUUGAGGGCCUAGAAUUUUUUUCAUCCCCAAAGACUUUCUUUUUUUAAUAUUAUUAUACUUUAAGUUCUAGGGUACAUGUGCACAACGUACAGGUUUGAUACAUAGGUAUGCAUGUGCCAUGUUGGUUUGCUGCACCCAUCAACUCGUCAUUUACAUUUGGUAUUUCUCCUAAUGCUAUCCUUCCCCCAGCCCCCAAACCCCUGACAGGCCCUGGUGUGUGAUGUUCCCCACCCUGUGUCCAAGUGAUCUCAUUGUUAAAUUCCCACCUGUAGGUGAGAACAUGCGGUGUUUGGUUUUCUGUCCUUGUGAUAGUUUGCUGAGAAUGAUGGUUUCCAGCUUCAUCCAUGUCCCUACAAAGGACAUGAACUCAUACUUUUUAUGGCUGCAUAGUAUUCCAUGGUGUAUAUGUACCACAUUUUCUUAAUCCAGUAUCAUUGAUGAACAUUUGGGUUGGUUCCAGCUCUUUGCUAUUGUGAAUAGUGCCACAAUAAACAUACAUGUGAAUGUGUCUUUAUAGUAGCAUGAUUUAUAAUCCUUUGGGUAUAUACCCAGUAAUGGGAUGGCUGGG